GAAGGUUUUAUGGGCCGCAGCAGUGAUAAACGAGGCCGGUGGGGGGAGGGGGAACCUUGGGAACCUUCACGGACCCACCCACACCCGCAGCCUUUAGGAAGCCCCCUGAAGGGGCUACAGCUGGGAGCAUAUUCCAAAGCCCUGGGGCCGCCACAGAGAAAGCCCGUUCCUGCAUCACCACCAACUAGUGGCAACCAUAACCGGACCUCUCCAGAACAUAGUAAAAGGUGGCAGGGUUCAUGAGAAAAGAGGCACUCUUUUAUAUAGCCUGGACCCAAGCUGUUAAGGGCUUAAUAGUGACCUACAUAGGAAGCUGCCU